rnacentral:rRNA from 1 species
CUACGGGGGGCAGCAGUUAGGCAUCUUCUUCAAUGCGCGCAAGCGUGAAAGAUUGAGCCAGAGUGUUUUCCAAAUUUGGAAAGCUUUUGUGCACUUUAAAAAAGUGCAAGAAUAAGGACUGGGUAAGACGAGUGCCAGCCGCCGCGGUAAUACUCGCGGUCCAAGUCGCAGCCAUAUUUAUUGGGUCUAAAACAUCCGUAGCUUGCUUUGCAAGUUUCUUGUGAAAUUUUAUAUCUUAAGUAUGAAACGCGCAAGAAGUACUACAAAGCUAGAGACUGGAAGACGUAAGAAGUAUGUCCGAAGUAACGGUAAAAUGUGUUAAUCUUGGACAGACUACCAAUAGCGAAGGCAUCUUACGAGGACAGUUCUGACAGUAAGGGAUGAAGGCUAGGGGCGCAAAACGGAUUAGAUACCCGGGUAGUC